UACGAAGGGGGCUAGCGUUGUUCGGAAUUACUGGGCGUAAAGCGUGCGCAGGCGGUUUUGUAAGCCAGAUGUGAAAUCCCCGGGCUUAACCUGGGAAUGGCAUUUGGGACUGCAAGGCUGGAGUUUGGCAGAGGAGACUGGAAUUCCUGGUGUAGCGGUGAAAUGCGUUGAUAUCAGGAGGAACACCCAUGGCGAAGGCAGGUUACUGGGCUUUAUCUGACGCUGAGGCGCGAAAGCGUGGGUAGCAAACAGG
rnacentral:rRNA from 1 species